GCGAGUUAAUUACAUGUGCAGUAAAUAAGAAGAAAUUUUCAAACAUAUUUGUCUCACGACUGGACACAUGCAUAUGUAUGCAUGGAGUGACAUGACAUUUAAAUUCCAAAAAACUAAAAAAAUAUCAGAAACACAUGAAACCUUGGUUGAUGUAAUGUCAUGCCACCAAGAUGAUGUGGUAAAAAAAUUGGCAUGUUUGGCGAAAGUUUGGACACACACCCUUCACAAACCGGAGCAACUCACUAGAAGGCUCGUGGUUCCGAGAGGGAACACUGCAUGUUUGAUGACGAACGGGAGAUAGCUUCCUGUUACGGCCUUCAAAUUUUUUCUACAUCUAACGUGCAAUACUACAACUGUACUGUGAAAUUUUGGAAAAUUCUAGGGGUCAUUUGACUUUUAAUGACAUUUAAUUGAUUUUCUAGCCAUUUAAUGAGCGUAAUUCACAUUUGAACUACAUCUACAUGCAAUGCCUAACCAUAACGGUUUGAAAAAUCAUAUUUGUGUACAUGGAGUGACAUGGCAUUUAAAAUCCAAAAAACGAAAAAAAAUCAGAAACACAUGAAGCCUUGGUUGAUGUAAUGUCAUGCCACCAAGAUUAUGUGGUAAAAAAAUUGGCAGGUUUGACGAAAGUUUGGACACACACCCCUCACAAAACGGAGCAACUCUCUAGAAGGCUCGUGGUUCUGUGACGCCCUCGAUUCAAUUGUACACUAAUCAUACACGCAAAUGUGUACGAUCAAGAUCAAGCACUCACGGGAAAAUAUCACAACACAACUCUAGACACAAAUUAAAAUAAUACAAGCUUUAUAUUACAAGCUAGGGGCCUCGAGGGCUCGAAUACAUAAGUUCGAAAACACAUGACUCGGCGGAAGCAACAAUAUUUGAGUACAGACAUAAGUUAGACAAGUUUGCCUUAAGAAGGCUAGCACAAAAGCAACAUCGAUCGAAAAGGCAAGGCCUCCUGCCUGGGAGCCUCCUAACUACUCCUGGUCGUCGGCGGCCUCCACGAAGUAGUAGGAGCCCUCAGUGUAGUAGCAGUCGUCGUCGAAGGUGGCGUCUGGAUCCUGGGCUCCACCAUCUGGUUUCAUCAACUGGAAAGAAGAAGAAAGGGGGAAAAGGGGGAGCAAAGCAACCGUGAGUACUCAUCCAAAGUACUCAAAAGCAAGGAUCGGCACUACAUAUGCAUUGGUAUCAAUGAAAUGGGUUGUAUCUGUGGACUGGACUACAGAAUGCCAGAAGAGAAGGGGAAAGCCUAGCCUAUCGAAGACUAGCAUCUUCAAGCAGCUCCAAGUAUCUUGCAGCAUUCAGAAAAGAUGAGUGUAGCAUAAAUUAAAGUAGUAGUAGUGUUAUCAACCUCGGCUAGAGAUCCUUUCUCGACUCCCUGCGAGAAAGCAAUCCCAGAGCCAUACUAUCCAUUUCUCAUAUCCAUGUCUCAUCUCAAGUAUCCAGUUCUAGUUGUAUCAAUCGGGAUACAACUCCAAGUGUCCGUUACCAUAGGACAGGCUAUCGAUAGAUGUUUUCUUCCCUGGAGGGGUGCACCAACUUACCCACCACGCUCGAUUAACUCCGGCCGGACACACUUUCCUGGGUCAUGCCCGGCCUCGGCCAAACAAUACGCCGCAACCCGACCUAGGCUUAAUAGAGAGGUCAGCACGCUAGACUAAACCUAUUCCCCCAGGGGUCAUGGGCCAUCGCCCCGAGAACUCCUGCACGUUGCGAACGCGGCCGGUCAGCAGACCUAGCUACCUCCUUCAAAAAGACAGGUGCUUACCAAUCCAACCCGGCGCACGCCGCCAGUCGCUGACGUCUGUUAAGCUUCGGUUGAUGCAUACGACAAAGAAAGCCCAUACUAUGCCCACGUGAUGGUUAGUGCUAUCAGGCUAGAGGCCCCUCGGAUCAAUUAUCCAAAUCGUAGUGGAUUAGGAGCACGCGGUAACAAGCAGAGACUCGCGAAAGAUGUGACACCGUUGUCCCAUCUCGAGGACUUCCGGCAAGGGCUAGGAAUGCCCGGCCACGCCUCGUAAUUAUCUUGCGGGCACCCUCCAGGUCAACCCGUCUCCACAUCACACGCGCGUACCCCUCAGGUUCGACCCGCCUCUCCAAGUAACGGUGGUAAAGUCCAAGUAUCCGUGUGUCCAAACAUCAAGGGGAAAACCCAAGGAAUCACCCCCGGUGAAUUCCACUCGAUGUAGUCAUCAAGGUGAACGUAAGAGGAUCCACCCUCGAGGUUCACACUUGAGGGGUUGCACGACAGAGUCGUAUCGGAAGUGGUUAAGGAAGAAAUCACCCUCGAUGACCACGACCGAAUAGCUACACUACAGAGAUCCCAUCAGGAGUGAUGUAUGAGGUUCCACCCUCGGCACUCGAUGGUAACUCUGCUGAGUCGAGCAACAAAAGGGGCGGGAUGUGAUGUGAGGUGUCGGGCUCCGAUCUUCGAUCCCGUUGAUCGGGUCUUCAAACAUAAAGCGGGUCAACCGGGACAAGGUGGGGGUCACUAAUGGAUCACUAACCAGCCUAUACUAAGCAUUUUAGGAUAAGCAGGUAAGGUACAAUGAGUAGGUUACAAAAGCGGGCUAAGCAUCAGAAUAGGAGCAAACAAUAACAGUAGCAAAAUCUAAUGCAAGCAUGGGAGAAUGGAAUGGGCGAUAUUGAAAUGAUCAAAGGGGGGGCUUGCCUUGUUAUUCUGGCAAGGAGGGGUCGUUGUCGACGUAGUCGAUCACAGGGGCAGCAUCGGUCUCGGGGUCUACCGGAGAGAAGAGGGGGGAGAAAUAGUAAAUGUAAAGCAAACAUAGCAUCACAAAGCAUAACGUGGCAAUAUGUUGUGCCGGGUGUGACCUAACGUAUGGCUACACGAUACAGGUGAAGGUGGAAUUCAACCGGGAAUUCCCGGUUCCGGACCUGUGUAAGACAGAUGACCGGAGGGGGAUGUUCCAUGUUCAUAUAGUUAGAGGCAUCUGACAGGUAAACGGAUCGCGCAUUCGGAUUCGUUGGAUUUUUCUGAGCAACUUUCAUAUAUAAAGUUUUUCGAUCCGAGCUACCGUUUAUUUUCUACGGAUUUUUAAAGAUUAAAGUAUUUUCUGGAGUUAUUCAAAUUAGCAGAAAUUCAUUAUGAUGUCAGCAUUGCAUGGGGAUUACGUCAGCAGUCAACAGACUCGCUGACCAGGGUCGAACCUGACCUGUGGGUCCAAUGGGACCCACAUGUCAGCCUCUGUUAGUCCAACAGGGUUUUAUACUAAUCUAGCUGGGUUAAUUAACUGGGUGGGGCCCUUCUGUCAGCGAGUGAUUAGUGUUUUGAAUAAUUAAUUUAACUAAUUAACUGGCUUGUAUUUAUUUAAAAACGUUAAAUGGACGGGACCCACAUGCCAGUGACACGGGGCCAGCCUAGUCAGCAGUUGACCCGGUUAACAGGUCAACUGGACCCACUGGUCAGUGGCACGGCGGGCCCCAGUAGUCAGUCCAAGUCAGCGGUGGCCGGCGACUCGCCGAAAUCACGCCGGCGAGCGCAUUCGUCGUGGCACGAGAAUGGGCACCGGUCGGAAACCGCGCACAGACCACCAUUUUGGCCGCGGUUGGGUGGAUUGGAACGGUGAGUCGACGGCGCAUCAACUGGCGGUGGUCGGAGUGGCUGAAACGACGGCGACGAGCUGGUUCGGGAGCUCUACGGGGAGACCAUUUCGGCGUGCGAACCAACGGAAGAAAGAGCUAGGCGGGUGCUAUGCAGUGCGGCGACUCUAACGGGCACUCGCCCAUGACCAUAAGUUCACCGGAGACUCGCCGACGACGAGCCCCGCGGCGCUGUGUUCGGGAGCGCGUGGAAAAUGUAGUUAGGAUACGCGCUAGGGCCAGCAGGGAGUGGGGAAGGAAGAGAAGCUCACCGGGGAGGCACAAGGUGGCCUGGUGUCAGCUUAGUAGCAGCAGCAGUUGCCAGAGAGGACGAAGUUCACCGGCAACAGUGGCGGAAGGGGACGGCUGGCUCGGCUCGUUGUGGAGCUCUCCGGCUCCAAUUAGGGGCACCAGACGACGCAGCUUUUCGUGGCGGAGCGCUACGGCAUGAUGGAUCGGCUCGGAGACGACGGGGACAGCAAGGACGACGGCGCGCGGCGGUAGAUGCGUUCGGGUGGUGGAUCUGAGAAGGAGGCGCGGUGACGGAGUGAGCGGGGAGAGGGGGAGAAAUGGAUGAGGACGCCAGGGAGAGCGGGGGUGAGUGGAGGCGGGGAUCGAGGAGACGGGGAGGCGCGGGGCCUUACCCCCUCGUCGGAGCUGGCGAGGUGGUCGGUCAGCGACGAGCCCCUCUAGUGGUCAUUUGACCUUUAAAAGACAUUUAGGUUUUUUUCUAGCCAUUUAAUGACUGUAAUUCAAAUUUGAACUACAUCUACAUGCAACGGCUAACCACAAUGGUUUGAAAAAUCAUAUUUGUGUGCUUUUGUGCGCGUUAAUUCCAUGUGCAGUAAAUUAUAACGAAUUUUCAAACAUAUUUGUCUCACGAUUGGACACAUGCAUAUGUAUGCAUGGAGUAAGAUGGCAUUUAAAUUCCAAAAAACUAAAAAAUAACAGAAACACAUGAAACCUUGGUUGAUGUAAUGUCAUGCCACCAAGAUGAUGUGGUAAAAAAAUUGGCAUGUUUGACGAAAGUUUGGACACACACCCC
rnacentral:lncRNA from 1 species